AUGAAUUUCAAUGCAGGUCCAGGCUGGAUUGGGGCGGAGGCAGGAUUAAAGGCAUCAUAGGCAUGCUCCCAUUACGAGGAUACUUCAAAAGGUUUUUCUUGGCCAUAGAUGAGGGGAAGAAAGAAGAGGGAGGGAAAUGUCAAGACAGAGAGUGCAGCUUUGAGUCAAUUUGGACAUGGAGCUUUUCUGAUGGACUCCAUCUUCCAAAGCAAGGCUGCUGAUAAAUUAUGUCUGGUGAGAGCAACAUGCCCGCAAGCAGGAUGAGAGCUGGACCACCGAACACUCCUGGGGUUCCAUCAGUCUAUCUAUUCUUUCCCCAUUCUCUUUCUUUUUCUCUUUAUUUCAUUCCUGUCUUUUUCCUUGACUUAGACACAUACACAAAGCACGUGACACCUGCCUCUCGAUCUGCUUUCAGAAACACA